CGCAGUGAGGUGCGGGCAUAUAGACGAACCAGUGUGGAUGCUGGACCGUAGAGGGUGAGAGUCCCGUAGUCGAAAUGUGUUCCGCCGCUGUUGGAGGGUUGCCCGAGUAGCACGGGGCCCGAGGAAUCCCGUGUGAAUCUGCCAGGACCACCUGGUAAGCCUGAAUACUACCUGUUGACCGAUAGCGGAUCAGUACCGUGAGGGAAUGGUGAAAAGUACCCCGGGAGGGGAGUGAAAUAGUACCUGAAACCAUGUGCCUACAAACCGUUGGAGCCUCCUUGUGGGGUGACAGCGUGCCUUUUGAAGAAUGAGCCUGCGAGUUAGUGAUACGUGGCGAGGUUAACCCGUGUGGGGAAGCCGUAGCGAAAGCGAGUCUGAAUAGGGCGAUUGAGUCGCGUGUCCUAGACCCGAAGCGGAGUGAUCUACCCAUGGCCAGGUUGAAGCGCGUGUAAGAGCGCGUGGAGGACCGAACCCACUUCAGUUGAAAAUGGAGGGGAUGAGCUGUGGGUAGGGGUGAAAGGCCAAUCAAACUCCGUGAUAGCUGGUUCUCCCCGAAAUGCAUUUAGGUGCAGCGUCACGUGUUUCUUCCCGGAGGUAGAGCUACUGGAUGGACGAUGGGCCCUACAAGGUUACUGACUUCAGCCAAACUCCGAAUGCCGGGAAGUGAGAGCGUGGCAGUGAGACUGUGGGGGAUAAGCUUCAUAGUCGAGAGGGAAACAGCCCAGACCACCGGUUAAGGCCCCUAAGCGUGUGCUAAGUNGGAAAGGAUGUGGAGUUGCUGAGACAACCAGGAGGUUGGCUUAGAAGCAGCCACCCUUGAAAGAGUGCGUAAUAGCUCACUGGUCAAGUGAUUCCGCGCCGACAAUGUAGCGGGGCUCAAGUACACCGCCGAAACCGUGGCAUUCAGUUUUGCUGGAUGGGUAGGGGAGCGUCGUUCACGAGGUGAAGCCAGCGGGUAACUUCUGGUGGAUUGUGGACGAGUGAGAAUGCAGGCAUGAGUAGCGAAAGACGGGUGAGAAACCCGUCCGCCGGAUGACUAAGGGUUCCAGGGUCAAGCUAAUCUGCCCUGGGUAAGUCGGGACCUAAGGCGAGGCCGACAGGCGUAGUCGAUGGACAACGGGUUGAUAUUCCCGUACCAGUGAAGAACCGUCCAUGUUGAGCCGGUGAUACUAACCGCCCGAACCAUCCCGAACCCCGUCUUUGACGGGGUCGGUGAUGGGGAGCGCGGGACCUGAACCGGGGAGGCAAGCGCAUUAACAGGUGUGACGCAGGAAGGUAGCCGGGCCGGGCAAUGGAAAUGACCUGGUCUAAGGGUGUAGGGCUGCCGGUAGGUAAAUCCGCCGGCUGUAUGCCUGAGACCUGAUGGGCGCCCACAUGGUGGGUGAUCCGGUGAUCCUAUGCUGCCUAGAAAAGCAUCGGCGCGAGGUUCAAACUGCCCGUACCCUAAACCGACACAGGUGGUCAGGUAGAGAAUACUAAGGCGAUCGAGAGAAUCAUGGUUAAGGAACUCGGCAAAAUGCCCCCGUAACUUCGGGAGAAGGGGGGCCCCAACCUUGAGCACCACGUGCUGGUGUGAGGGGAUCGGGGCCGCAGAGACCAGGGGGAAGCGACUGUUUAUCAAAAACACAGGUCCAUGCGAAGUCGUAAGACGAUGUAUAUGGACUGACUCCUGCCCGGUGCUGGAAGGUUAAGGGGACCCGUUAGCUUCGGCGAAGCGGAGAACUUAAGCCCCAGUAAACGGCGGUGGUAACAAUAACCAUCCUAAGGUAGCGAAAUUCCUUGUCGGGUAAGUUCCGACCUGCACGAAUGGAGUAACGACUUCCCNNCUGUCUCAACCAUGAACUCGGCGAAAUUGCAUUACGAGUAAAGAUGCUCGUUACGCGCAGAAGGACGGAAAGACCCCGUGACCUUUACUAUAGUUUGGUAUUGGUNUUCGGUGUGNCUUGUGUAGGAUAGGUGGGAGACUGUGAAGCGGGCACGCCAGUGUUCGUGGAGUCGNCGUUGAAAUACCACUCUGGUCACUCUGGAUAUCUAACUUCGGCCCGUGAUCCGGGUCAGGGACAGUGCCUGAUGGGUAGUUUAACUGGGGCGGUUGCCUCCCAAAAUGUAACGGAGGCGCCCAAAGGUUCCCUCAGCCUGGUUGGCAAUCAGGUGUUGAGUGUAAGUGCACAAGGGAGCUUGACUGUGAGACUGGCAGGUCGAGCAGGGACGAAAGUCGGGACUAGUGAUCCGGCNGCUACUUGUGGAACGGCCGUCGCUCAACGGAUAAAAGGUACCUCGGGGAUAACAGGCUGAUCUUGCCCAAGAGUCCAUAUCGACGGNAUGGUUUGGCACCUCGAUGUCGGCUCGUCGCAUCCUGGGGCUGGAGUAGGUCCCAAGGGUUGGGCUGUUCGC
rnacentral:rRNA from 1 species